rnacentral:rRNA from 1 species
CAAAAACAUGUCCUUUUGUUUAUGAUUUAAGGUCAGGCCUGCCCGAUGAUUAUUUUGAAUGGCCGCAGUAUUUUGACUGUGCAAAGGUAGCAUAAUCAUUAGUUUCUUAAUUAGGAGCUGGUAUGAACGGUUUGAUGAAAAAUUAACUGUCUCUAUUUAAAUGAUUUUGAAUUUUAUUUUUAAGUGAAAAAGCUUAAAUUUUUUAUAAAGACGAGAAGACCCUAUAGAGUUUUAUAGUUGAUACUACUAAUUUAAUUAGGUUUUUUUUUGUUUUAGUGGGCUUAACUAUUUUGUUGGGGUGACAUUAAAAUUUAAUAAACUUUUAUUUUUUGUAACAUUUAUUUAUGGAAAAUUGAUCCUAUGUUUUAGAUUAUAAGAAAAAAUUACCUUAGGGAUAACAGCGUAAUUUUUUUGGAAAGUUCUCAUUGAUAAAAAAGUUUGCGACCUCGAUGUUGGAUUAAAAUUUAGUUUGGGUGUAGAAGCUUGAAUAUUAGGUCUGUUCGACCUUUAAAAUUUUACAUGAUCU